GCUACCAUGCAGUCGAGCGGUAACAUUUCUAGCUUGCUAGAAGAUGACGAGGGAGGACGGGUGAGUAAUGCUUGGGAAUAUGCCUGAUGGUGGGGGACAACAGUUGGAAACGACUGCUAAUACCGCAUAACGUGCCUUUUGUAGUGAAGGGUACCAAAGGGGGGGAUUCUUCGGAACCUCUCGCCAUUUGAUUAGCCCAAGUGAGAUUAGCUAGUUGGUAGGGUAAAGGCCUACCAAGGCGACGAUCUCUAGCUGGUUUGAGAGGAUGAUCAGCAACACUGGGACUGAGACACGGCCCAGACUCCUACGGGAGGCAGCAGUGGGGAAUAUUGCACAAUGGGGGAAACCCUGAUGCAGCCAUGCCGCGUGUGUGAAGAAGGCCUUCUGUCUGUAAAGCACUUUCAGUUGCGAGGAAAGGAUAUAAUUUAAUAAAUUAUAUCUGUGACGUUAACAACAGAAGAAGCACCGGCUAACUUCGUGCCAGCAGCCGCGGUAAUACGAGGGGUGCAAGCGUUAAUCGGAAUUACUGGGCGUAAAGCGUCCGUAGGCGGUUAUUUAAGCAGGAUGUGAAAGCCCAGGGCUCAACCUUGGAACUGCAUUUUGAACUGGGUAACUAGAGUACUGUAGAGGGUGGUGGAAUUUCCAGUGUAGCGGUGAAAUGCGUAGAGAUUGGAAGGAACAUCAGUGGCGAAGGCGGCCACCUGGACAGAUACUGACGCUGA
rnacentral:rRNA from 1 species